rnacentral:rRNA from 1 species
GAUGAACGCUGGCGGCGUGCCUAAUACAUGCAAGUCGAGCGAACAGACGAGGAGCUUGCUCCUCUGACGUUAGCGGCGGACGGGUGAGUAACACGUGGAUAACCUACCUAUAAGACUGGGAUAACUUCGGGAAACCGGAGCUAAUACCGGAUAAUAUAUUGAACCGCAUGGUUCAAUAGUGAAAGACGGUUUUGCUGUCACUUAUAGAUGGAUCCGCGCCGCAUUAGCUAGUUGGUAAGGUAACGGCUUACCAAGGCAACGAUGCGUAGCCGACCUGAGAGGGUGAUCGGCCACACUGGAACUGAGACACGGUCCAGACUCCUACGGGAGGCAGCAGUAGGGAAUCUUCCGCAAUGGGCGAAAGCCUGACGGAGCAACGCCGCGUGAGUGAUGAAGGUCUUCGGAUCGUAAAACUCUGUUAGUAGGGAAGAACAAAUGUGUAAGUAACUAUGCACGUAUUGACGGUACCUAAUCAGAAAGCCACGGCUAACUACGUG